rnacentral:rRNA from 1 species
AACCGGCGAUACCCGAAUGGGGAAACCCAGUGUGUUUCGACACACUAUCAUGUCAUGAAUACAUAGUGGCAUGAGGCGAACCGGGGGAACUGAAACAUCUAAGUACCCCGAGGAAAAGAAAUCAACCGAGAUUCCCCCAGUAGCGGCGAGCGAACGGGGAGGAGCCCAGAACCUGAAUCGGCUUGUGUGUUAGUGGAAGCGUCUGGAAAGUCGCGCAGCAAAGGGUGAUAGCCCCGUACACUAAAAUGCACAGGUCGUGAGUUCGAUGAGUAGGGCGGGACACGUGACAUCCUGUCUGAAUAUGGGGGGACCAUCCUCCAAGGCUAAAUACUCCUGACUGACCGAUAGUGAACCAGUACCGUGAGGGAAAGGCGAAAAGAACCCCGGCGAGGGGAGUGAAAUAGAACCUGAAACCGUGUACGUACAAGCAGUGGGAGCACCUUCGUGGUGUGACUGCGUACCUUUUGUAUAAUGGGUCAGCGACUUAUAUUUUGUAGCAAGGUUAACCGUAUAGGGGAGCCGUAGGGAAACCGAGUCUUAACUGGGCGAUUAGUUGCAAGGUAUAGACCCGAAACCCGGUGAUCUAGCCAUGGGCAGGUUGAAGGUUGGGUAACACUAACUGGAGGACCGAACCGACUAAUGUUGAAAAAUUAGCGGAUGACUUGUGGCUGGGGGUGAAAGGCCAAUCAAACCGGGAGAUAGCUGGUUCUCCCCGAAAGCUAUUUAGGUAGCGCCUCGUGAACUCAUCUUCGGGGGUAGAGCACUGUUUCGGCUAGGGGGCCAUCCCGGCUUACCAAACCGAUGCAAACUCCGAAUACCGAAGAAUGUUAUCACGGGAGACACACGGCGGGUGCUAACGUCCGUCGUGAAGAGGGAAACAACCCAGACCGCCAGCUAAGGUCCCAAAGUCAUGGUUAAGUGGGAAACGAUGUGGGAAGGCACAGACAGCCAGGAUGUUGGCUUAGAAGCAGCCAUCAUUUAAAGAAAGCGUAAUAGCUCACUGGUCGAGUCGGCCUGCGCGGAAGAUGUAACGGGGCUAAACCAUGCACCGAAGCUGCGGCAGCGACGCUUAGGCGUUGUUGGGUAGGGGAGCGUUCUGUAAGCCGUUGAAGGUGGCCUGUGAGGGUUGCUGGAGGUAUCAGAAGUGCGAAUGCUGACAUAAGUAACGAUAAAGCGGGUGAAAAGCCCGCUCGCCGGAAGACCAAGGGUUCCUGUCCAACGUUAAUCGGGGCAGGGUGAGUCGACCCCUAAGGCGAGGCUGAAAAGCGUAGUCGAUGGGAAACAGGUUAAUAUUCCUGUACUUGGUGUUACUGCGAAGGGGGGACGGAGAAGGCUAGGCU